GUGCCAGCAGCUGCGGUAAUACGGAGGGUGCAAGCGUUAAUCGGAAUUACUGGGCGUAAAGCGCACGCAGGCGGUCUGUCAAGUCGGAUGUGAAAUCCCCGGGCUCAACCUGGGAACUGCAUUCGAAACUGGCAGGCUAGAGUCUUGUAGAGGGGGGUAGAAUUCCAGGUGUAGCGGUGAAAUGCGUAGAGAUCUGGAGGAAUACCGGUGGCGAAGGCGGCCCCCUGGACAAAGACUGACGCUCAGGUGCGAAAGCGUGGGGAGCAAACAGGAUUAGAUACCCUGGUAGUCCACGCCGUAAACGAUGUCGACUUGGAGGUUGUGCCCUUGAGCGUGGCUUCCGGAGCUAACGCGUUAAGUCGACCGCCUGGGGAGUACGGCCGCAAGGUUAAAACUCAAAUGAAUUGACGGGGCCCGCACAAGCGGUGAGCAUGUGGUUAAUUCGAUGCAACGCGAAGAACCUUACCUACUCUUGACAUCCAGAGAACUUAGCAGAGAUGCUUUGGU
rnacentral:rRNA from 1 species